UCACUUAAUGACAUGAGGAAAUUCUUGUCUUUUAAUGGUAAAUGAAAUAACAAGACAUAACUCUUGACUAUCCUCUGAUUGGAAUUAUAUAUCCUGUCAUGUUAGGGCACUGUAUGGCAUAUAUAGUGAUGAGAUCUCUCUGGGUGCUUCCCUUAAGACUGUCGCCAUGGCUGCCAACAAUUCAACACUUAUGGCCUCAGUCUUUCUGAAGAAAAUAUGGAAUUCAGUAGGAGCCUGAGAAAUGGAUUACCAUGGCAAGGAGGAGGCAGGCAAGGACAUGAGUAUUGGUAUUUAGUGAUGUCCUCUAACCUGGAGUUUUCAGCAUUUUCUUUCUCUGUUUAUGCCUAGAUUCUUGCUUGAGAUGUGCAUCUGAGAAGUAGACAACUUGAUAACCUUGGUAAAUGCUGGAAAUGUAAUGCUUAAUGAACAAGAACAAAACCGACAAUCCAGCUUUCCGAAGCGUAUUGAAUGACAUGACAAGGCUUAUGUGGUUUAGGACCUGAGAAAACCAUGAUGGAAAGAACAACUCAUGUUACAAGGAUAUUUUACAUGUUUCCUGGCUAGAUUCUUGAGAUUUGCACCACAGAAGGAGACAAGUUGAUAACUUGGGAAAAUGGUGGAAUUGUAAUGCUGAAUGAACAAGAAUAAAACUGUCCUAGAUUCUUGAGACUUGCACCCCAGAAGCAGACAACUUGACAACCUGGGUAAAUGCUGGAAAUGUAAUGCUGAAUGAACAAGAACAAAAAUGAGAUUGCAUCGGCCAGGGAAUGGAUGGAAAAACAAAGCAUUAGCACCUUACUAAGUCUCAGGAAUUCAAGGAAGACACCAAGACCAUUAAGAAGAUACUGUACCUGUUGCUAACCCUCAAUACUAUCCAAACUAUGACACUCAUCUCAGAUCAAAAGCUGUUUCAAAAUGAGAAUUUUAAAGGACAACCACCCAGAAAGAAAUGUGGCAAAUGGCUAAGUCACUUCUUUGUAUCAUCAGAGAGUCUCAAAUUCACCAUUACUGAAGUGAAUUGUAGUUCAACAAGCUCUUGCAUAAUGCCCCUCAGUCUUCAUCAUAAACUUGAGCAAGUCCCUUGAGAAUGAAGCCAUUGAAUUCACUGUUUUUGUAUGAUUUAUAGAUUUGGACAAGCUCCUACCAGGUGAGAAAUAUUGUUAUUUUGUUCACUGUUUCAAAGGUCAAUUGGUCAACAUCAGUUAACAUUUGACAUAUCAUACCCUUUGUCCAGAGACUGCCUUCCCAAAGUGAUCACACAGCUAUAUAUAUGUCCGCAGGAAAGUAGAGAGUUGGGGCUAAAGAGGAUCAUUGAAAUUUCUUUUACAAGGGUGAGGUUGGGAAGAAGAAAAGGGUCCAUUUUCCAGAUUCCCUUACGGUAUGGCAUGUAGUCUUUUUAAGCCUUUGGAAAGAUGGUAAUGCAUUCAGCAAGUCUUUAUUAGGGGAACAUUCUACACCCUUAAUUUAGGGAAGAAAAUGCAAAAUGUUCUAACUUUGGGAUUAAACCAUUCUAGUUGCCCAAUAUCAAAAAAUACAAAUGACAAAUUAAGUCUGAUUCUAUCUCUUACAUACAUUGUUAAUUUAUGUUUUAAACAUAAAAAUACGGUUUCAAAAAAGUGAGUCGGCACAAAGGGAUUAUCUAGCAAGUUCCCUACUUUGCAAUUAAUGGUGUGUAAUUUUCUAGAGUGAUAUUUCCAAUGGCUUGCCUUCUAGUUUUAAUAAUACUUGUCUGAAGUCUUGAAAUGUUAAAAAUGAGAAAAGCUACAUUUGAAAUUUUAAAAAGAUCAAGAAACAAACAUCGUCCCAAUAUAUAAUUGAGAAAGUAACAUAUUUCAACAUAUAUUUUUCUUUAAAACAUGUGCAUUUCUACAUACAUGCAAGAUAUAAGGAUUCUCCUUUAAAUUUUUAUGCUACUAGAAUGGUAUUUCCAAUUCUCCUUAACAGAAAAUCAAGCUUUCUGAAAUGUAUUGAAUGACAUGACAAGGCUCAUGUCGCUUAGGACCUGAAAAAACUAUGAUAGAAUGAAGCAACUCAAGUUAAAAGGAUAUUUUACAUGUAUCCUGCCUAGAUUCUUGAGACUUCCACCCCAAAAGCAGACAACUUGAUAACCUGGAUCAAUGCUGGAAAUGUAAUGCUAAAUGAACAAGAACAAAACUGGCCUGUUUUCUUGAGACAUGCACCACAGAAGCAGACAACUUGAUAACCUGGGAAAAUUCCGGAAGAACAAGAACAAAACUGACUUGCCUGGCAGAAGCAGACAACUUGAUAACCUGGGAAAAUGCUGGAAGUGUAAUGCUGAAUGAACAAGAACAAAACUGGCCUAGAUUCUUGAGACUUGCACCACAGAAGCAGACAACUUAAUAACUUGAGUAAAUGCUGGAAAUGUAAUGCUGAAUGAAUAAGAACAAAACUGGCCUGCAUUCUCCAGACUUCUGGGCCAGAAGCAGACAACUUGAUAACCUGGGUAAAUGCUGGAAAUGAUGUAAUGCUGAAUGAACAAGAACAAAACUGGGACACAGGACCUGCCUGAGAUGGAGGCUGUGACAGGACAACAGAGAACACCUGCCACCUGCAAGCAUCAAGUAACAAGAAGUAUCAGUAUGCCACUGAGGGGUGUGUGAGAACCUGGAUAAAGAGACCUUUUCUCAGGCACAGGUUCACAGAGAAGGUAUAAUGCCUUUCAGAAGGGAGAUAGAAACUAUAAGGAAAUGCUAGAAAUAGGAAACAGUAAUAGAAGUGAAGUAUACUUUCAAUGGGUUCAUCAAUAUACUCAAAAUAAUUGACAAAGGGCAGUAGAAAUUACCUAAACUGAAGCAAAAAGAGAAAAAGAAAGAGUUGGGGGAGGGGAACAGUACAAAACACUGAAAACUGUAGGACAGUAUCAAAUGGUCUAACAUAUAGUAAUGUCUCACAAGAGGGAAGGAGAAAAAGAAAUAUUUUUAAAGAUAAUAGUGGAUAAUUUUUUAGAAAUAAUAAAAGACUUCUAAAAAAUAAUUUUUUAAAAAUAAUAAAAAACCAUAGAACUAAUAAACUUAGAAACCCACCCAAGUAGAUUAGAUGCACACAUUCACACACACACACACACAUACAAAAACACAUCAAUAAUCAAACUCUUAAAAACCAAAGAUGAAGAGAAACAUCUAAAAGACUGCUGGACAUAGAAGACAAGAUAGUCCAUGGAGAGGAAUAAAAAUAAGAUUUACAGCAGACUUACGGUCAUACAUUAUUGAAGGUUAUAAGGAAAUGGAGUCGCUUCUUGAUUUACAAUGUUGGAAAACAAAACAGUCGACUCAAAAUUAUUUACCAUGCAAAAUGUCUUUCAAAAUAAGGAAAAGUACUUUUUUUAGACAAAAAUUAAGAGAAUUUAUUAUCAUCAGACAUUCACUACAAUAAAUAUUAAAGACAGCUCUUCAAGAAAAAGGAGCAAAAGGAAUGUGAUACCAGGCAGAAAGUAGGGAUUACACAAAGAAAUGAAGAUUUAUAGAAAUGGUUAAAAUGAAGGUAAACGUGAAGACAUGUUUUAACCUUUUAAUUGUUCUAAAAAAUAUUUGGCUAUUUAGAGGAAAAAUAGUAGCAUAUAUAAAAUUAAGAGGUAUGUCAGCACAAAAGAUGGAAAGAAAUAAUUUAGAGUACAUUGUAAUAAGGUUCUUACACUAGAUGACAAACAGUAUAUUAUUUGAUAUCAGACUGAGAUUCUCUGUAUAUAUUUCUAAAGUCUGAGUAAACCACAUAGAAAUUUUUAAAAGAUAAGUAAUGAAUCAAUAGUAGUGAUAAAACUGGAAUCAUAAAAAAAUAGUCGAUCCAGUAGAAUUUUGCAUAAGAUAAAAAAUGGAACAAAUAGAAUUCAACCAGCAAAGUGACAGAUUAAAUAAUUCAAUAAUAUCAAUAAUUACAUUCAAUGUAGGUGAUCUAAACACUCUAAAAGACAGAUUUUCAGAUUGGAUAAAACAGUAAGAGCCAACUAUAUUCUGGUUACAGAAAAUUUACUUUAACUAUAAAGAUAUAGACAUGUUAAAUAUAAAAUGAUGAAAAAAUAUAUACCGAGCAAAAACUAAUCAGAAGAAAGCCAUAGUGUCUCUAUUAAUCUCAGACAAAGUAGUCUUUAGAAUAAGGAUUAUAGCCAGUGGAAAGAGAGGAAAAUUACAAAAAAGAUGAAAGAGUCAAUUCACCAAGAAUUGGAAACAUUGGAAAUAAUUUGAAAAUUCAAAAUAUAGAUAUGAAUGUGAUUGAAAUCUUAAUAAGGUCCAAAAGUAUGUCCUUAAGAUUCACCAGAAACAGUAUAAUCUUAUAUCUGUUCUAAAAUAGAGAGGCAGAAAUUAGCUCCUCUUGCAAUGAAAGUGAUAGAAACAUGGGAAAAAUAAUUAAUGUACACAAUUAUUUGAUUUAAAAAAUAAACAUAAAGGUACAUUUGGUGCCCCUUGUAGGAUGUGUCAUAAACCAAUAAGAGCUAUAUAGGUCAUAAGAAAAGAAUCUCAGGAAUUGAGCCAAAUAACAGCCUUCCACAAAAAGACUAGUGUCUCCUAGAAAAUGGAGGGAGACUCUUUCGGAAGCUUGGAAGUCAUGUCAAGGACCAUGAAGCCAGGUGACUAGAGUUGGUCUUCUACAGGCCUGGAAUUUCCAGCACUUUCUUCUCCCAUUUAGUCCUGGAAUCCUAAGACUUGUCCCUAGAAGUCAACAUGGUAAGUUGGGAAAAUGCUGAAGAACUAAUGUUGAGUGAAGAAGAGCUGAACUGUGAAGCCAGAGGUCUGGUGGAAAUGUAAUGCUUGAAAAGAACAUGCAAGAUGAGGGUGGGUGGUUUAGGCUUCAUUUUGAUUUUAGAUGGAAAUAGAAAGCAAAAGCAAAGCUACAGGGGUGUAAGUUGAUUUCCUCAAACUGGGCAAGAUAUAAAACACUUUUAUUUCCUGGUGCCUUUGUGUUUUGUUAGCAUUUUUUUUCAGACAGGGAGGGCGGGAGGAGAGGGCAGGGCUGGUUGACAUUUCUGCAGCAUUACUGCCAUCGUGAGGAAGUUGGUUGAUGAAGCACUAAGCCAUGGGUAUUUCCUCCCAGGGACCCGGAAGUUGAGGAAGAUUGGACCUGUGGGGAGGUUGAGAAGCCCCUGGCCCUCAGCACGAUGCCCUUGCCUUCAUCUCUCCUGGCCUUCAGGAGCUGUGGCAAAGGCGUGAUAUAGUUGUAGAAGCUAGCUCUAGUGAGUUACCAGACAUGAACAGGCCGCCGACAGGAAACACAUGCGCAGAAAGUUCUGGAGGUGGAGCUUUUGUGUCCUUCCAGUGCAGGCGGAACUAGAGGAAUCAAUUCACCACCAAGUGCAGGGCUUCUGGUCAUUUGCCUCCUGCCCUUGUUCCAUGAGGUAGAGGAAAACACUCUGGGGCACAGUAUUCUAGCACGUUGGGCCCUGGCCCCCAUUUGGCAGCAGAGUCAGAGUUCAGCGUGUGUGUGGGGGCGCCGGGUUAGGGGUGGAUUCUCACUGUUUAUCUUUGAACAUAUAUUAUAGAGUGCAUACAGAGCUGAGAGGCAACAACUGAUGAUUGACAGAGAGUAUCAUUAGCUCUCAGGAGUGUCUUGGAGAUAUUUGGCAAAGUAUGCCUUAAUGAUCCUGGUACCUUGUGAAGGGGAAAUGUGGCUACUGACCUGCUGACAUGAUUCAGAUAAAACCAAAAGAAGAAAGCCAGAACCAGAUAAGUUAGGGUACCUGCCUUGGAGCCACUUUUGGACUUGGUCAUAUGCUUGAAGUAGGGUAGACAAAUGUAUGGAGACAGAAUUGUGGACGAUACUACAGGUGGCAUCAGCUCAGGAAUUCCUCAGGCCCUGUAAUGUUGUGUUGGCCUCACCUCACCUCAGCUGUACUUAAUAUAGGCCAAAUGGCCUUACAGUGGAUAGAAGCCUAAGGCAAUAGCUCCUAGCUGAAUUUCAAUGUUUCAGAUGUAGUAAGAACAGCAAAAGAAGAAACCACAAGCAACUGUUGUCGGUGUUUACUGCCUUUCAACCACUGACAUCCAUCACAGAUCAUCAGUUGUUCCAAAAUGAAAAAGUUAAGAACAACAGUUCAGCAAGAAAGGGGGAAAGAAACCAGGUACAAACUAACCAGAAGAAAAAAUGGUCAUGGAAAAAGUCCAUUUGUAGAGGUUCUCAAAUUCACUAAUAUUCAAGUAGAUUACAAUUCAACAAAUUCUCAAUUAUGCUUCCCCCACCAGUGUUUCCCUCAGUGAGCUGCUGAACACGGAACCACUGAUAUUAUCAAAUUUAUGUGAUCAUUUGCAGAAUUGGACAAGUUCUUACAAGAUGGGAAGCAUUGUCAAUUGGUUUAACUCUUUGGAGGGCAAUUUGUGUGCAUCAGUUAACCUUUUACAUGACAUACUUUUUGUCCAAAAGACUCUGCCUUUCAAAAGUGAUCACAGGGCCACAUUCCCAUAGGAGGAAAGAGAGUAACGACAAGUAGGUUCAUUGAGUUUUCCUUUGCAAUGUUGGACAGUAGGGAGAGGCAAAGGACCUUUCUUGAAUAGAUUGAAUCUCACAUGGUUCAGGUACACCAAGUAGUCUUCUUAAGUCCUUGUAAAGACCGAAUUCCAUUCACUAUAUCCUGAUCAGGAACAGUAUCCUACACCUUUAAUUAAGGGUUAAAGCAAAUUAUUGGAUCUUUGCGAUCAAACCAUCCUAGUUUACUCGUAAAAGAAAACAGGGAAAAAUAAAGUCUUUCUCUGCUUAUUCCAUGUAUGAUUAUCAUAAGUUGAAUACCUAAAUGUAUAUAUAUUUGGAGAGUGAAUAUGAACAAGAGAAAUCUUCUAACAUAAUUAUUACUGUAUCUACCUUUCUGGAGUAAUUUUCCUAAGAUCAUGUCAUAAAGUAUUAACUUUAUAUAUGCCUGAAAGUUUGAAAUAUUAAAGCAAGUUUUACAUUUAAAAUGAGGAAACCAAGGUAUACCUCUCAGCUUUCGGUAUAUGAAUCUGUUUCUCUAAAAGUUGUACAUAGCUCUGUUUAUAUAUGGAAAUGAAAAAGGUCACUUUUUAUGGUGAAGAAAAAAAUCUUUAAGCAAAUUUCUAAGUAACACACAUUCCCAUCAUGAGAAGGAUACUUAAUGACCAGUAAGGUGGCCUUAUAAUACCAAGCCUGGGAAAAAUAUGAUAGAAGGAAAAAACUCAAAACCCAAGGAGAUCCCCAUACUAUGUAGAAGUCUAAAGUCAUACCAGCAAACCUGUGGGCUCUCAUGCACACACAUUUAUACAAAUAUUCUAAUCAAAUAGAUUUAGAAUAGAGAACAGAAGACCAAAAUGCUAAUGCUUUUUUCCAUGGACUGCUCAACAUUUUCUCUAAGGGGUCAUAUAGUGAGAUCAUCUCUUAAACAGAAGAGUGGCACUAAAAGAGGCAAGGAUUCUGGAGGUCCUGCUGUGCUCAACUCCCUUCCAAAGAAGGACAUUUUGUCAGGCCUACAAGGAAUGUUCUUCAGUUAAAAAAUUAAGGAGUAAGCACAGAAAACAACACAGGUAGUCCCUGGGUUACGGACAAGAUAUGUUCCUGAGAACAUCUUUAGGUCAGAUUUGUAUGUAACUCAGAUCCCUGAUGAACAGUGCAUAUAUGAUGAUAAUAAUAAUAGUUAUAAUACUAUAAUGGCUCACAUGUGGUAAUAAUACAGUAUAAUACUAUGUUAAUAAUACCCUAUGGUAUAAUAAGUUACAGAAACUAUUGUGUUCUUUUAAUUCAAUCAAACAGAACAUAAAAACAAACACAUUUAAAAAGCUUAGAUAGGAGAUAGGAGAAAUUUCUAAAAACGGUAUUAAAGGUUAACACUCACCUAAUAUUGCACCAAUGCUAGGCUAACAGGAAUGUUACACUUAGUUUGAUAUUCUAACGAAAUCAAUAAUAACUUUUCCAUUUCAAUAAUCAAUCUACUAAAUUGCUUAGUAAUUGCUGCUUUCAUUGGAGCACUGCCUUUCAUAUGUUCCAUUAUUCUCACUUUAUAAUUGUUCUUAUAGUUCAGCAACUGAAGGUUAAUGCUUUCCCAAUGAAUGAUGGCAUCUGGGCUUUCUCUGAAUGCUCAAGUAUUUCUACUUUCUUAGAAGUACAGAGACACUUUGUGCCAUCUCAACUGCCUCAUGGUCCAAGGGACAGGGCCCAAAGACAAAUGCCUGGAAGCUCUGCAUAGACUUUGAGUGAUUUUCUCUAGUCUUGCCCACAGUAAGAAGAAACCAGAGCCCUGCACCAGUCCUGGCCCCUCACUCAGCAGCUUCUUCACUAGGUUUCUUCCUUUAUCCUGAGCUCCUGGAAAGCAUAAGAGUGGAAGUAAAGGAGGCUCAGCUUGGGGUCAGGGCCCAUGCAGCCUUUGAAUUUGCCAGACCUUUCUCAACCUUUAGAUCUAACGACCAACUUUGGCUUUUGUGAAACUAUUGCCUCGUGAUGGCAGUAUGACUCCAGAAAAGUUAAGUAGCCCUGCCCCCAUGCCCUCUUCUCCCGCCCGUCCAAUCUGAAAAAAAUGCCACCAAGACAAAGGAGCUAGGAAACAUGGCUGCCUUGUAUCUUGACCAAUUUGAAGAAACUUGCUCAUACUGCUGCACUUUUGCUUUUAGUUUUUACAUAAAAUCAAACUGAAGUCUAAUACUACCCACCCUCAACAGGCAUCUUUUCUUUUCAAUAAUAACAUUUUUUUGUAGACCACGGCUUCACAGAUUUCCUCUUCUUCAGUCAACAUUAGACCAGUAGGACAUUUUGUAUUUUCAAGUUUUCUGAUACAGUUCAAGUGUCAGGGAUCCAUACAUGAAGAAAAAAAUGCUGUACUGAAAGCUGUGUGAGGCUAUCUGUAGCCAUUAGACCUUGUGGUCUUUGACUUGGCUCCUUUCCCGGGCUUCUGUGGACUACUCCAUUUUCUGGCUCACAUAUUUUAGAAAGUAAACAAAAUGGCAUCCUUCUUUUUAAAUGUAUUUACAAAUGAAGAGCUCACUAGUAUAUAUUU